CGACUUCUCCCCUUCCUGACGGGAAGUAGGUCUAGUGGCUUAGUUUAGUGCGAUUUUACUCAGGCUACCGGCGGCCCUUUUGUUCCACGGCUAUGACGAUGGAAGUGGUGGAUGCAGGUGGAGGUGACACCCUGUUAUGAUGGCAAGCUCAAAGAGAGGCAAAAAAUUUAUAUUGGUCCGAUAAAUAUGACUAAUGGAAGGUGUUACUUUAGCCAUUACAUUAAGGUUAUGGACGGAUUUAUGAAGUCCAUGUUCGAGGAGUAGAAGGCAAGGGUGGUUGCUACUCCAGGUGAAGAGCCCCACCCAAUUGAAGUGGAUCCUAAUAUCCCUCAUAGUAGUGAAGAUGUGGAGGUCAGUUUCAAGGCUGAAGCUGAGUGUGAGAAAGAAUAUGCCACCACAAAAUAUAUGUUCUCGUUAUACAGGCAAGUGAAAAUGAGAGCUCAUGAGAGAAAGCCUAUCGAAAAGAGAAAUGUCAUAUCAUAUCUUUUUAAAAUCUAUAAAUAUGCAAGAAAGAAACAACACGAGAAAAAAAUGGAGGAAGGAUACAGCCUUACCCACUAGUGAGAGUGAUCCAAAUGCUCACUUAUCUUUAUUUUUGGAGCCUAUCACUGUUGCACUGAUAAAGCUACAACAGUCAUUUAAGGACCAAGAAGAUUCAUUCUUUCUAGAGAGGUUUAAAAAUUUUUCAUAUAUUAAUUAUUAAAUCAUUGUGACAUUUUGUAUCUUUAUAUCGUGUGCUUGUAUAACAUAUAUUAAACAUUCAAUCCACUUACUCAAAAUAUUUCUUAUACUUCA